rnacentral:rRNA from 1 species
GAUGGACGCUGGCGGCGUGCCUAAUACAUGCAAGUCGAGCGAACAGACGAGGAGCUUGCUCCUCUGACGUUAGCGGCGGACGGGUGAGUAACACGUGGAUAACCUACCUAUAAGACUGGGAUAACUUCGGGAAACCGGAGCUAAUACCGGAUAAUAUAUUGAACCGCAUGGUUCAAUAGUGAAAGACGGUUUUGCUGUCACUUAUGGAUGGAUCCGCGCCGCAUUAGCUAGUUGGUAAGGUAACGGCUUACCAAGGCAACGAUGCGUAGCCGACCUGAGAGGGUGAUCGGCCACACUGGAACUGAGACACGGUCCAGACUCCUACGGGAGGCAGCAGUAGGGAAUCUUCCGCAAUGGGCGAAAGCCUGACGGAGCAACGCCGCGUGAGUGAUGAAGGUCUUCGGAUCGUAAAACUCUGUUAUUAGGGAAGAACAAAUGUGUAAGUAACUAUGCACGUCUUGACGGUACCUAAUCAGAAAGCCACGGCUAACUACGUG